ACUCCUACGGGAGGCAGCAGUGGGGAAUAUUGCACAAUGGGCGCAAGCCUGAUGCAGCCAUGCCGCGUGUGUGAAGAAGGCCUUCGGGUUGUAAAGCACUUUCAGUCGUGAGGAAGGUAGUGUAGUUAAUAGCUGCAUUAUUUGACGUUAGCGACAGAAGAAGCACCGGCUAACUCCGUGCCAGCAGCCGCGGUAAUACGGAGGGUGCGAGCGUUAAUCGGAAUUACUGGGCGUAAAGCGCAUGCAGGUGGUUUGUUAAGUCAGAUGUGAAAGCCCGGGGCUCAACCUCGGAAUAGCAUUUGAAACUGGCAGACUAGAGUACUGUAGAGGGGGUAGAAUUUCAGGUGUAGCGGUGAAAUGCGUAGAGAUCUGAAGGAAUACCGGUGGCGAAGGCGGCCCCUGGACAGAUACUGACACUCAGAUGCGAAAGCGUGGGAGCAAACAGGAUUAGAU
rnacentral:rRNA from 1 species